UACGUAGGGUGCGAGCGUUAAUCGGAAUUACUGGGCGUAAAGCGUGCGCAGGCGGUGAGCUGUGUCCGAUGUGAAAGCCCCGGGCUCAACCUGGGAAUGGCCGUUGAAACUGGCGAACUGGAGUGUGGCAGAGGGGGGUGGAAUUCCGCGUGUAGCAGUGAAAUGCGUAGAGAUGCGGAGGAACACCGAUGGCGAAGGCAGCCCCCUGGGCUGACACUGACGCUCAGGCACGAAAGCGUGGGGAGCAAACAGG
rnacentral:rRNA from 1 species